rnacentral:rRNA from 1 species
UACAGAGGGGGCAAGCGUUGUCCGGAAUUACUGGGCGUAAAGGGCGCGUAGGUGGCCUUCUAAGUUGAACGUGAAAUCCCUGGGCUCAACCCAGGAACUGCGUCCAAGACUGGGAGGCUUGAAUCCGGGAGAGGGAUGCGGAAUUCCAGGUGUAGCGGUGAAAUGCGUAGAUAUCUGGAGGAACACCGGUGGCGAAGGCGGCAUCCUGGACCGGGAUUGACACUGAGGCGCGAAAGCCAGGGGAGCAAACGGG